AGCAGCCGCGGUAAUUCCAGCUCCAAUAGCGUAUAUUAAAGUUGUUGCAGUUAAAAAGCUCGUAGUUGAAUUUCGGGACCAAUUUGUUGGUCGUGCCUCGGUACGUACUGGUAUUAUUGGUUUCUCCCUUCUGAAGAACCUUGAUGUCAUUAAUUUGGUGUCUUGGGGAAUCAGGACUGUUACUUUGAAAAAAUUAGAGUGUUUAAAGCAGGCAUACGCUUGAAUACAUUAGCAUGGAAUAAUGAAAUAGGACGUUUGAUUCUAUUUUGUUGGUUUCUAGGAUCGACGUAAUGAUUAAUAGGGAUAGUUGGGGGCAUUAGUAUUCAAUUGUCAGAGGUGAAAUUCUUGGAUUUAUUGAAGACUAACUACUGCGAAAGCAUUUGCCAAGGAUGUUUUCAUUAAUCAAGAACGAAAGUUAGGGGAUCGAAGACGAUCAGAUACCGUCGUAGUCUUAACCAUAAACUAUGCCGACUAGGGAUCGGAUGAUGUUAAUUUUUUAAUGACUCAUUCGGCGCCUUACG
rnacentral:misc_RNA from 1 species